rnacentral:rRNA from 1 species
CGCCGCGUGCAGGAGGACGCUUUUCGGAGUGUAAACUGCUUUUCUGUGGGAAGAGCUACGGACGGUACCACAGGAAGAAGCCCCGGCUAACUACGUGC